rnacentral:misc_RNA from 1 species
GACGAACCGUCCGAACGUUAUUCGGAAUCACUGGGCUUAAAGAGUGCGUAGGCGGCUCGCCAGGUGGGGUGUGAAAUCCCUCGGCCCAACCGAGGAAUGGCGCUCCAAACCGGCGAGCUUGAGGAGAAUAGGGGUCAGCGGAACUGAUGGUGGAGCGGUGAAAUGCGUUGAUAUCAUCAGGAACACCCGUGGCGAAAGCGGCUGACUGGGUUCUUUCUGACGCUGAGGCACGAAAGCCAGGGGAGCGAACGGG